rnacentral:lncRNA from 1 species
GACUACAGCCCUCCACCUUCACUGUUGUUGCUCCACUUGCAGGUGACGGCAAGACAAGCAAAAUAGGACGUCAAAGGUGGACGUCAAAGAAGGGAAAAGCUUAACGGCCAAGAAGAAACUUAUCCCCGAGCUCGAUCACACGACCGUCGCGACGCUCUCAUUAAUACUAACUCCAAGAUUAUUCAUACUCUUCAAGUUACCAACUUCCACGUACCUCGCGUAUGCACUCACGGCCGUGCUGCUGCUGUGCCGUACAACGCCAACCGCAGCAAUAAGGCACGCAGAAAGCCCACCUUGCAAUGGCCGCGCAGGAACCUCGGGACACAGUUAUCCGCUGCUCUGCCGAGCCCCACCUGAAUUGCACAGCCACUCACACUCUGCUCCCCGACACUCGGCCUCGCGCCGCCAUGCCGCGCUGCCCCGGAACUGCUCUCCGCCGCCGCCAAGCACUUCCUGCCCCGGCCCUAGCAACCGCCUGCGGCGUCACGUUGCUAAGGGCGGCCUGGGGGCGGCCCGGGGCCUGUGGGGGGGGC